GCACUGCAGUGCCUUCGUUCUGCAAUUGCAAAACUCAGUAUGAAAAGGAAGGGGGGGAAAGGGCAAGAAACCUUACAGCGCAUUACAAUGCAAGGCCAUAUUUCAUGUUGGCUAAGGGACUGGUGUGUUGCAUCAGCCUGACUUUCAAUGACUCUGAUGGACUGAUUGGAGAAGACAGGGUAUUGGUUGUGGGUAGGUCGGUAUUUCUUAUAAAUAGAGCCCACCUUAACUCAUGGGGGUGUUCGGGGAGAUGGCGUAGUGGAGGGCGGAGCUGCCAGCGGCGGUACGGCCAGUGACAACAACACGAGCUAAGUACCCCUGAAAGGCCGUCGGAGUUGUAAUUUCUGGUUGGUGCUCUAUUGUCUGUGGACUUGAAACAUUCCUUCUAUUGUCUCGACUGUGUUUGUGUUGCAGCGGGAUUGUCUAACAUCAGCUGAGGAAGUUUAGGUAGAGUGAGAACAGCAUCUACACUCCAGUUGCGGUUUCAUUCAUACCGCAAACUGGGCGGAGCCGACCAGUACUGACUGUUUUUAGGAUCCUUUCUUAUUAAAUAGGUAUUUUUAUACAUGCAUGUUACUGAAUAUUCAGGAUUUCUGUGUGUAUAGGGGUUGAGAUAACCAGCCUGGUUCAUUUUCUAUGCUGAUUUUAUUACCCACCCAACCAUCUUAGAGUGUGAAUUUGUGGUGCUUUAGUUGCGGUUUGUAACGUGUGUUUUGUGUGAUUUUUUUUUUAUUUAUUUUGACGAAUUGUGGG
ensembl:lncRNA